rnacentral:rRNA from 1 species
UACAGAGGUCUCAAGCGUUGUUCGGAUUCAUUGGGCGUAAAGGGUGCGUAGGCGGCGCGGUAAGUCGGGUGUGAAAUCCCUCGGCUUAACCGAGGAAUUGCGCCCAAAACUACUGUGCUCGAGGGAGAUAGAGGUGAGCGGAACUUAGGGUGGAGCGGUGAAAUGCGUUGAUAUCCUAAGGAACACCGGUGGCGAAAGCGGCUCACUGGAUCUCUUCUGACGCUGAGGCACGAAAGCUAGGGUAGCAAACGGG